CAGUCGAGCGAAUGGAUUAAGAGCUUGCUCUUAUGAAGUUAGCGGCGGACCGGUGAGUAACACGUGGGUAACCUGCCCAUAAGACUGGGAUAACUCCGGGAAACCGGGGCUAAUACCGGAUAACAUUUUGAACCGCAUGGUUCGAAAUUGAAAGGCGGCUUCGGCUGUCACUUAUGGAUGGACCCGCGUCGCAUUAGCUAGUUGGUGAGGUAACGGCUCACCAAGGCAACGAUGCGUAGCCGACCUGAGAGGGUGAUCGGCCACACUGGGACUGAGACACGGCCCAGACUCCUACGGGAGGCAGCAGUAGGGAAUCUUCCGCAAUGGACGAAAGUCUGACGGAGCAACGCCGCGUGAGUGAUGAAGGCUUUCGGGUCGUAAAACUCUGUUGUUAGGGAAGAACAAGUGCUAGUUGAAUAAGCUGGCACCUUGACGGUACCUAACCAGAAAGCCACGGCUAACUACGUGCCAGCAGCCGCGGUAAUACGUAGGUGGCAAGCGUUAUCCGGAAUUAUUGGGCGUAAAGCGCGCGCAGGUGGUUUCUUAAGUCUGAUGUGAAAGCCCACGGCUCAACCGUGGAGGGUCAUUGGAAA
rnacentral:rRNA from 1 species